AUGAGAUGUCUGUAUUCUGUGUCCGUUUCAAGUUGAAAGGAGAGUAAAAAUAAGAUCAUAUUUUUAGAAGCUGGGAGAGACAGACUGGAUGAAUUGAGAUUGAAAGCACAUUCCAGAAACCAGCUAACAGAUGCUUCUCUUAAAUGCAAAUAUUCCAUCAAAUCAUAGGGAAGUUAUGUGCUGUUUGAGGAUGGACCACAACCGAGAAUGCUCAGUUCCAUUGCAGUUCUUUUCUCCGUAUUCCUAAGCAAAUUCAGGAUAGACGGUGAGACUUUUAAAAUGAAUUAAUUAAAUGAGUAAGUAAAAGAUGGUCUUACAUUUGGCUGGAAUGGAACCCUGCAUGGAGUCCAGGAGACAAACCAGAUGCAUAUCUCUCAAGAAAAUGGCUUUGGGGAAUGAGGCAAGAAUUCCUGAUUCAAAAUACACAUACCCUAAAUGGCAAGAAGAAAGCAUGGUGUUUAUUGCAGGCCAUCAGCAGGACAGAGCUAGAGACCCAGAUCAAGAAGGUGCGCUCACUCCCCCAGAUCUGACCCCAGGGGGGCAGCAAGGCCGUGGGGGCCCACCUCCCACCCUGCCAUUGGAGUCCCUGCCACCACCAGGAUUGGGAGGUCCCACUCCUUAAGUGCUCUGAAGAGAUGUGCCACAAUACCACUUAAUGACCUCGGGGCCAGUGGGAGGUUCUAGAACAGAUGGUUUCAGUAUCCUUUCACAUGAGAAAUGCCCCAAGCUGCCUGUUUUGCCUGUAGAGAGCAAUGACGUCCACGGAUGUCAGGGUUCUCUGGGUGCACAAACUGCCAACAGAGCUAGUCACUUCCUUCCAGUAUACCCUCAAUAUUUUGUUUUAGUUUAGAAGACCUGGCAGGCCCUAUAAAGGGCCAAAACUGGCUCCUGGCAGAAGCAAUGCCAAGAAGAAAGGAGAAGAGAAUUAUCACCCCAAAUCUUCCACUGUGUGGUCCCUAAAAUCAGUCUUAUAGAGUUCCUUUCAUUGCUUGGUUUGCCCAGUUGUAUAAUGGGCACAGCCAUUGCGAUGAACUUGAAGACAAAGAAUAUAUCACUGGUUGAUCUAUUCAGUUCCAAUCUCAAUGCUGGGCUAGCAGCUGUGGGAGUUGCAGCAGAAGAAUUCUGGACCUCUGCCUUCAAAGAGCUUAGAAUAUAGUUGUGAAGAAGAGUGACCCAUUCAAAGGAAGCAC
rnacentral:lncRNA from 12 species